rnacentral:misc_RNA from 1 species
UACAACUCUGCCUUUGCUGCUUUCUUAUUUGCACCAUGGCUACUACCUUCUUCUUCAGAUGCCGCCUCGUCAAUCCUUCCCAUGAAUCCCAUCCCAACACUGCAACUCUUGGGCAACUGUUUCGAUUGCUGCAUUAACAUGUCAAUUUCAUUUUUAUGACCAAGGCUCCUCACGGAUGCAGCCCUUAUAAGCUCUCUGUAAUCGUCAUAGUCGUUGGACAUGGAUGACCCCAUACUGUAACUCUUGGGCAAUUGACCGUGUGGCAUCGACAUGGAGUGGCCAUAGCUGGCUCUCGCAGCGCAUCCUGUCAUGCUCUUCACGUAGAGAUCCCUGGCUUUGCCCAAUACUUUUAUUGGGAUCGUUACGAUCCACAUGAACCUGCUCUGGCUAUGCCCUUUGGCCCCCAUGACACAAGAAAAAGAUUGAAAUUUGGAAAGAAGAUGAAUUGAUCAAGAAUUCAAGAUCCUAAUUACAAAAGAAUCUUGGUUGACAAACCUUGAGAGAGAAAGACAGACGAGGUAAAGUUUUGUUAAUG